rnacentral:rRNA from 1 species
ACGGGAGGCAGCAGUAGGGAAUCUUCGGCAAUGGGGGCAACCCUGACCGAGCAACGCCGCGUGAGUGAAGAAGGUCUUCGGAUCGUAAAGCUCUGUUGAGAGGGACGAGAGAUUACUUCAGGAAAUGGGAGUAAGAGGACGGUACCUUUCGAGGAAGCCACGGCUAACUACGUGCCAGCAGCCGCGGUAAUACGUAGGAGGCGAGCGUUGUCCGGAAUUAUUGGGCGUAAAGGGAGCGCAGGUGGGACUUCAAGUCAGUCUUAAAAGUGCGGGGCUCAACCCCGUGAUGGGAUUGAAACUGUAGUUCUUGAGUGCAGGAGAGGAAAGCGGAAUCCCUAGUGUAGCGGUGAAAUGCGUAGAUAUUAGGAGGAACACCAGUGGCGAAGGCGGCUUUCUGGACUGUAACUGACACUGAGGCUCGAAAGCGUGGGGAGCGAACAGGAUUAGAUACCCUGGUA